UAGGGAAUUUUUCGGGCAAAUGGGACGGAAGUCUGACCGAGCAACGCCGCGUGAAUGAAGAAGUAUUUCGGUAUGUAAAGUUCUUUUAUUUGGGAAGAAAAAACAAAUUGACGGUACCAAAUGAAUAAGCCCCGGCUAACUACGUGCCAGCAGCCGCGGUAAUACGUAGGGGGCAAGCGUUAUCCGGAAUUAUUGGGCGUAAAGGGUGCGUAGGCGGGUUAUCAAGUCUUUGGUUAAAAUGCGGUGCUCAACGCCGUAUCGCCAAAGAACUGAUAGUCUAGAGUAUGGUAGAAGUGAGUGGAACUCCAUGUGUAGCGGUAAAAUGCGUAAAUAUAUGGAAGAACACCAGUGGCGAAGGCGGCUCACUAGGCCAAUACUGACGCUGAGACACGAAAGCGUGGGGAGCAAACAGGAUUAGAUACCCUGGUAGU
rnacentral:rRNA from 1 species